UACGUAGGGUGCAAGCGUUGUCCGGAAUUAUUGGGCGUAAAGAGCGCGCAGGCGGUCGUUCAAGUCGCGUGUGAAAGCCCCCGGCUCAACUGGGGAGGGUCACGCGAUACUGAUCGACUCGAAGGCAGGAGAGGGUAGUGGAAUUCCCGGUGUAGUGGUGAAAUGCGUAGAUAUCGGGAGGAACACCAGUGGCGAAGGCGACUACCUGGCCUGUUCUUGACGCUGAGGCGCGAAAGCUAGGGGAGCAAACGGG
rnacentral:rRNA from 1 species